GAUGAAUGCUGGUGGCGUGCCUAAUACAUGCAAGUCGUGCGGCAGCGCGAGUAGUUUACUACUUGGCGGCGAGCGGCGGACGGCUGAGUAACGCGUGGGAACGUGCCCCAAAGUGAGGGAUAAGCCCGAGAAAUCGGGUCUAAUACCGCAUAUGGUCUUCGGAUUAAAGCUUCGGCGCUUUGGGAGCGGCCCGCGUACGAUUAGAUUGUUGGUGAGGUAAUGGCUCACCAAGUCGACGAUCGUUAGCUGGUCUGAGAGGAUGAUCAGCCAGACUGGAACUGAGACACGGUCCAGACUCCUACGGGAGGCAGCAGUAAGGAAUCUUCCACAAUGGGGGCAACCCUGAUGGAGCAACGCCGCGUGCAGGAUGAAGGCCCUCGGGUCGUAAACUGCUUUUAUGAGUGAAGAAUAUGACGGUAACUCAUGAAUAAGCACCGGCUAACUACGUGCCAGCAGCCGCGGUCAUACGUAGGGUGCAAGCAUUAUCCGGAGUGACUGGGCGUAAAGAGUUGCGUAGGCGGUUAGUAAAGCGAAUAGUGAAACCUGGUGGCUCAACCAUACAGACUAUUAUUCGAACUCACUAACUCGAGAGUGGUAGAGGUAACUGGAAUUUCUUGUGUAGGAGUGAAAUCCGUAGAUAUAAGAAGGAACACCAAUGGCGUAGGCAGGUUACUGGACCAUUUCUGACGCUAAGGCACGAAAGCGUGGGGAGCGAACGGGAUUAGAUACCCCGGUAGUCCACGCC
rnacentral:rRNA from 1 species